rnacentral:rRNA from 1 species
UACGUAGGGGGCAAGCGUUGUCCGGAAUCAUUGGGCGUAAAGAGCGUGUAGGCGGCCAGAUAAGUCCGCUGUGAAAACUCGAGGCUCAACUUCGAGCUGUCGGUGGAAACUAUUUGGCUAGAGUCCGGAAGAGGAGAGUGGAAUUCCUGGUGUAGCGGUGAAAUGCGCAGAUAUCAGGAAGAACACCAAUGGCGAAGGCAGCUCUCUGGGACGGUACUGACGCUGAGAAGCGAAAGCAUGGGGAGCGAACAGG